AGCGUUACCACCCGAUCCCGUUGGUCACUUCUUACGACAAGCAUGGUUUGCUGAAGACCCCUUCUUACCCGGAUCAUCACGGGUCCACAUCAAU